CUGGCUUUUGUUUCUCAUGUCUUCCUUGUUAGCUCCAUGCAGUUCCAUCAUGCUGAACUGCUCUCGACCUGACCCGCCUUCCCUGCUCCAGGCACUCGACCCAAUCUUCAACAUGAAAUCCAUCCGACCUGUCCUAAAUGUGUCAACCCCCACCAACGUCAGCAUUGACUUCCUUCUGUUUGGCAUUUUGGGGGUGGAUGAAAAGGCCCAGCUCCUGAAAACGUAUAUCUGGCAAAAAAUAAAAUGGAGAAAUGAGUUUGUCAGGUGGGACCCAGAACAGUGCGGUUCUUCAUGGAUUACAAUUCCAAGGAAUCUGCUCUGGGUA